UACACAGGCCACAUCCAACCCUUCCUAUCCUGUGAGGGAGCUGCAGAAAGGUGACUGUUCUGACACAGCAAUUUGUGUGGGAUGGAGUGGAACUGGGAGAGGGAGGAAGAGCUGAUGUUGUGGCCCUGUAAGCUACAGCCCAAGGGUGGCAUCAGGUGGCCUCAGGAAGCCACAAGCAGGGAGAUGGAAUCUUGGCUCCACCUCUUGGGCUCUCAGCAGCUCUGUGAAACUUCUCAGCCUUCUCCAUCUGUCAAGACACUCCAAUAAAUCCCAUUUUAUUUGCCUUGAGCUAUCUCAAGGGUUUUAAUUACAAGCUCCCAUAUAAAGAAGAGUGACAAGGAGUAGCAGAUGGAUUAAUAAGGAAUUUUGCAGGAUACAGGUUACUGGUUCCUUUAUGCUCUGCCCACCACAGCCAACUUACCGCUGCUCUCAAUUAAAUGAUUAACCAAUGUCCAAUUAACAGCCAUGGGACAGAGCCUCCUAAUUUCAAAGCUCUUUAUUGUCUUCUCCAUGUGAGUUUUUUUCCCCAGGUGUUCUACACAAUCAAAGCCAAAGACUUAACAAGAAUCACAGAGUCAUAGAUUGGGUUGGAAGGGAACUUAAAAUUCGUCCAGCUCCAUCUCUGCCAUGGGCAG